rnacentral:rRNA from 1 species
GGGGGAAUCUUGCGCAAUGGCCGAAAGGCUGACGCAGCGACGCCGCGUGCGGGAGGAAGCCCUUCGGGGUGUAAACCGCUGUCAGGGGGGACGAAAGCCGGAGGGAGGCAAUGCCCUUCGGAAGGACGGUACCUCCAGAGGAGGCACCGGCUAACUCCGUGCCAGCAGCCGCGGUAAUACGGAGGGUGCGAGCGUUGUUCGGAAUUAUUGGGCGUAAAGCGCACGUAGGCGGCUCUUUAAGUCUCUUGGUGAAAGGCCGGGGCUCAACCCCGAGCAUGCCGGGGAUACUGGGGGGCUGGAGACAGGUAGAGGCCAGCGGAAUUCCGGGUGUAGCGGUGGAACGCGUAGAGAUCCGGAAGAACACCGGAGGCGAAGGCGGCUGGCUGGACCUGAUCUGACGCUGAGGUGCGAAAGCGUGGGGAGCGAACAGGAUUAGAUACCCUGGUAGUCCACGCCGUAAACGAUGGAGACUAGAUGCCGUGGGAUCGAC